CCCCGCGCCCCGCCGCCCGGCCGCCCGCCCGCCAGUUGCGAACCUUCCCCUCUUAUUGGGGUGGGGGUUCUGUUUCAGCCCCCGGGCUUGCACCCCUUUUUAUUGGCAUUAUUGAUUCGUCUCUCUGGAGAACCGUGACGGAUGAAGGUAUGUGCAGAUCUUGUGCUGACUUUGAAUUGUUCUCUGUUGUGUCAGUAACUUCAGGGAGGAUGACUGCUUUUCUUAUUUCCUGAGGCCACUGUGCUAGGCACAUGGUGGGAACAUGAUAAAUAUUCACUGAAGUGAUGGAAACCCACAGAAGCCCCAUCAUGCUUUUCUCAUCUUUAAACCAAGUGGAUCCCUUUGCUCCUCCUGUCCGCACAGGACUGACUGGUCAGCCUUCUUUGGAGCCCAGCUCUUCUCAGGACCUUCUCUUCACGCUGGUUACUAUGGCUGCCUCAUGGCUCUUGCCUUUAAACGCUGUGGGAAAAACCACACCUUCCAUAGACCUCCCUGCGGAUCCAGGCAUGCCACGUGCUCUGGCCUCCUCUCACCUGUACGUGGGAGUCCAGCUGUGCUUUUCUUGCCUGGCAUCUUCAGAUGAUGCGCUCCCUUUCUCAUCAGGGGGUGGACUCUCGGGGGAAAUUCUAGGCUCCGAUGCUGUGGAAUAUUCAUGGGUUUUGGAAUCAGCAGACCUGGUUUGAGUCCUGGUUGUCAUACAUGUUUUGAGAACCCGAGGAAGUCAUGUAACUAUCAUGAGCCUUCCUUAUUAGUAAAAUCGGGGGGAAUGACUCAUAGAAAAAUGUGAGGAAUAAAUAAAGCAGAUAGUCAUAAAUUUUAUUUAAACAGCAGUACAACAUGCACGAUUCCCCUAAUGAAAUGCUCUGUGGAACUGCGAAAUACAAGGCAGAUAAGAUGAGAACUACAGUGCUCUGGCUCUGAGGAGACCCUCCUCUUGUGAGCUGGAACUUGUCCUCCACCCUGUUCUCGCGCAGCCUCCAGCAGUUCUUCUGUCUCCUGUAGCAACAUGCAGCAGUUCUUUAUAGGACCAUGCCUGCCAGCCUGAAAACAUGCUGGAAUAAUCUUCAAGCCAAACAACCAACCCAGGCGAUCAUCCUUAGCCCUACACCAAGCAUGUCAAACUCGCAGCCCAUGGGCCACUUGUGGCCCACAGUGAAUAUUUUUGCAGCACAGUCAAUAUAAUGGUAUGCAAGAAAUGUUUU